rnacentral:misc_RNA from 1 species
UUUUUCAAUUCCUUUCAUCGUUGAAAAGAAAAAAAGUCAAAGCCAAGAGAUCCUGACUUUGACUUUCUGA